rnacentral:snRNA from 1 species
AGUUAAUCUACUGUUACACCUGCUACUCUCUUGGUUGCUAAGGUUGGGUCAGCUGACUUGGAAAGUAAGAGGACGUUCUCUUUCUCCCCAACCCACCUAGAUCAGCCUGUAGUCAUCCAGACCAAAGAUGUUGACCUCUCAACUUGAGGGGCAUAGGACUUCAUUCAGAAAUAAAGAAGUAGCUAUGCUUCUCUGGCUGAAAAGCUAAAGAAUUUCUCAGCAUUCUUAUCUGUUUUGCCAGGAGCUACACAGCAAGACACAGAGCUGGAUCUUGGCUUGCCAUUUCGAGUUGGUGUUGUCCAUAGCA